AGAGUUUGAUCCUGGCUCAGGAUGAACGCUGGCGGCGUGCCUAAUACAUGCAAGUCGAGCAGAAUCAUUUGAACGGAGAUUCGUCGAAGUGAGAAUGAGGAAAGCGGCGGACGGGUGAGUACGCGUAGGCAACCUGCCCUUAGCAGAGGGAUAGCCAUUGGAAACGAUGAUUAAAACCUCUAAUGCUGCUGGUACACAUGUGCCGGCAGCCAAAGAUUUAUCGGCUAAGGAUGGGCCUGCUCUGAUUAACUGGUUGGUGAGGUAACGGCCCACCAAGGUGACGAUCAGUAGCCGACCUGAAGGGUGAUCGGCCACAUUGGAACUGAGACACGGUCCAAACUUCUACGGAAGGCAGCAGUAGGAAUCUUGCACAAUGGGGGAAACCCUGAUGCAGCAACGCCGCGUGAACGAUGAAGGCCUAGGGUUGUAAAGUUCUGAUCUGGGGGAAGAAGAAGUGACGGUACCCCAGGAGAAAGCCCCGCUAAAUACGUGCCAGCAGCCGCGGUAAUACGUAUGGGGCAAGCGUUAUCCGGAAUUAUUGGCGUAAAGAGUGCGUAGGUGGUUACCUAAGCGCAAGGUUUAAUCUUGAGGCUCAACCUCUUCUGCCUUGCGAACUGGGCUACUUGAGUGCUGGAGGGGAAAGCGGAUUUC
rnacentral:rRNA from 1 species